GAUGAACGCUGGCGGCGUGCUUAACACAUGCAAGUCGAACGAGAAGUGGAGACGGAAACCUUCGGGCGGAAGACUUUAUUUCGAGUGGCGGACGGGUGAGUAACGCGUGGGUAACCUGCCUCAUACAGGGGGAUAACAGUUGGAAACGACUGUUAAUACCGCAUCAGACCACAGCACCGCAUGGUGCGGGGGUAAAAACUCCGGUGGUAUGAGAUGGACCCGCGUUCGAUUAGCCAGUUGGCGGGGUAACGGCCCACCAAAGCGACGAUCGAUAGCCGAUCUGAGAGGAGGACCGGCCACAUUGGGACUGAGACACGGCCCAAACUCCUACGGGAGGCAGCAGUGGGGAAUAUUGCACAAUGGGGGAAACCCUGAUGCAGCGACGCCGCGUGAGUGAAGAAGUAUUUCGGUAUGUAAAGCUCUAUCAGCAGGGAAGAAAAUGACGGUACCUGAGUAAGAAGCCCCGGCUAACUACGUG
rnacentral:rRNA from 1 species